AUGGAUGGAAGAUUGAAUUUUGGACCCUUGAUUUUUCCACUUGGACUAUCAAGUUCAACUUCAGGUCCUUUUAUGUCCAGUUUGGGAGCAUCAACAUCAAUAUUGGCUUUAGGGAGAUUUACAUCAAUAUCUGGGCCUUCUACUUUUGGACCUUUAAAUCCAAAUGAUGGCAUUUUGAAUUUUGGCAUUUCAAAACUUCCUUUUGAACCUUCAAUGUCCAUUUCAGGACCUUUGAUGUCAACGUUAGGAAGAUUCACAUCUCCCUCUAUCUUAGGUGCAGACAGAUCGACAUCACCCUUGAUCUUUGGACCUUUCAGGUUGAAGUCUACAUCAGGCAUAGAAAGUUUUGGUCCAGAAAUGGAUGGAAGAUUGAAUUUUGGACCCUUGAUUUUUCCACUUGGACUGUCAAGUUCAACUUUAGGUCCUUUUAUGUCCAGUUUGGGAGCAUCAACAUCAAUAUUGGCUUUAGGGAGAUUUACAUCAAUAUCUGGGCCUUCUACCUUUGGACCUUUAAAUCCAAAUGAUGGCAUUUUGAAUUUUGGCAUUUCAAAAUUUCCUUUUGAACCUUCAAUGUCCAUUUCAGGACCUUUGAUGUCAACGUUAGGAAGAUUCACAUCUCCCUCUAGCUUAGGUGCAGACAGAUCAACAUCACCCUUGAUCUUUGGACCUUUUAGGUUGAAGUCUACAUCAGGCAUAGACAUGUUUGGUCCAGAAAUGGAUGGAAGAUUGAAUUUUGGUCCCUUGAUUUUUCCACUUGGACUGUCAAAUUCAACUUCAGGUCCUUUUAUGUCCAGUUUGGGAGCAUCAACAUCAAUAUUGGCUUUAGGGAGCUUUACAUCAAUAUCAGGGCCUUCUACCUUUGGACCUUUAAAACCAAAUGAUGGCAUUUUGAAUUUUGGCAUUUCAAAACUUCCUUUUGAACCUUCAGUGUCCAUUUCAGGACCUUUGAUGUCAAUGUUAGGAAGAUUCGCAUCUCCCUCUAUCUUCGGUGCAGACAGAUCAACAUCACCCUUGAUCUUUGGACCUUUUAGGUUAAAGUCAACAUCAGGCAUAGAGAUUUUAGGUCCGGUAAUCGAUGGAAGAUUGAAUUUUCCACCUACACUUGUAUCAGCUUCUGGGACUUUGAUAUCCACUUUUGGAGCUUUAACAUCAAUGUCAGUUUUGGGACGUUUCACAUCAACCUGA
rnacentral:lncRNA from 1 species